AUGUCGCGACGUGACACCGCCUGCGGUUACUGCUCCCGGCCAGGUCACCCAGAGCCUGAUUGUCGCCAGAAGAAGCGAGACCAGAGGCGCUCCUCCUCCAGCGGGCCUCCUGUGUCUUCCUCGACUCUGUCACUCACUGACCAGGACAUUGUUCGCCUCAAGCGUCUUCUUGCUUCCUCAGGAUCCUCGUCAACUGGCUCUGCUGCUGCUGUGACUGCAUCCUCCUCCUCACCACCACAGACACCUACACAGUCAGGUACAUCUUCGUGGGUUCUGGAUUCUGGAGCCUCCUUUCAUAUGUCUUCUGAUUCUUCUGUACUGUCUUCUCUUCGACCUCUUGAUUCGCCUGUUAAUGUUCUUACCGCCGACGGCACACCUCUUUCUGUUACUGGACGUGGUCUUCUUUCCACCUCAUCUUUUUCUAUUCCUAGUGUUUCUCAUGUUCCUCGCCUUACCAUGAAUCUUUUUUCCGCUGCCCAACUUACUGAUUCUGGUUGUCGUGUCAUUCUUGAUACCGACUCUUUCUCUAUUCAGGAUCGUCGCACCAAGACUUUGGUUGGUGCUGGCCCCCGGCGCCGUGAGUCAGAGGGCCUUUGGGAGGUUGACUGGCUUUGUGUUCCUUCUGCUGCCACCACUUCUGUCAGCUCCCAUGCUCUUGCUGCCUCUUCGUCCACGUCAUUCCAGCAGUGGCAUCAUCGCCUUGGUCACCUCUGUGGCUCUUGCCUGUCUUCUUUAGUUCGUCAGGGUCUCUUAGGGUCUGUAUCUGGAGAUGUUUCUUUACCUUGUAAUGGUUGCAGACUUGGCAAACAAACCCAUUUACCUUAUCCUACUAGUGAGUCUGUAUCUCAACUCCUUUUGACUUAG
rnacentral:rRNA from 1 species